UGAGGAAUAUUGGUCAAUGGGCGAGAGCCUGAACCAGCCAAGUCGCGUGAAGGAUGAAGGAUCUAUGGUUUGUAAACUUCUUUUAUAUGGGAAUAAAGUGAGGAACGUGUUCCUUUUGUAUGUACCAUAUGAAUAAGCAUCGGCUAACUCCGUGCCAGCAGCCCGGUAAUCUCACGCUCAUACAUGAUUACCGCGGCUGCUGGCACGUAGUUAGCCGGGGCUUCUUAG
rnacentral:rRNA from 1 species